UACAGAGGUCCCGAGCGUUGUUCGGAUUCACUGGGCGUAAAGGGUGCGCAGGUGGGUUGGCAAGUUUGAUGUGAAAGCCCCGGGCUUAACCCGGGAAUGGCAUUGAAUACUGCUGAUCUGGAGGAUCGGAGGGGGGACUGGAAUUCUUGGUGUAGCAGUGAAAUGCGUAGAUAUCAAGAGGAACACCAGUGGCGAAGGCGAGUCCCUGGACGAUACCUGACACUGAGGCACGAAAGUGUGGGGAGCGAACAGG
rnacentral:rRNA from 1 species